AUUUACUUGGUUUUGAUUAUUCUACCGAUUCUUGUGUAGAAAUUCAGUUUGUGUUGAAUAAAAUAUAGACGACAGGCAAGGGUGAUUUGUUUAGGUAGUACACAUGUUUUGAGCAUGUAAAUUUCUUUGUUUACAUACAAUUUAUCAAUUCUUGUUUUUGUUCUUUAAGGAAACAAUUAGAUUGCAACAAAAAAUAGAAUGGGUAUAUAAUAUUAACAAAUUUAACAGCAACAAGUUAUUAGCAGUACACCAGCCAAAUGUAAAUUUCUCCUUCACUUUCUUCCUAAUAAAACACUUCUGAGUUAGGUGCAUACAAGUCCUUGUCAUAUAAUAAUAAUAAAAUCUCAAUCUCAUCAGCAGAAAAGAUGACUUCACGACUUUAUUAAAUAGAUAACCACCUAGGUCUCAGAAAGAAAAUAACAACGUCUAGGUAGCUUCUGGGCAACAUGCUUCUUCUCAAUGGUGAUUGAGUUUGAUACAUUCAAACAAAUUUAACCGUAGUAGCAAUUACGGAUGAAAGUUUGAUCCACUCAGGCUAUAAAAUUUAAUAACUAAAAUUAAUGGGCCACAUAUUUGACACUACAAUACAUGUAAUUUUCCCCUUCACUUUCUUUCCCAAGAGAAGGCUUCUCAAUUCCAUGCCAAACAAUUGUGUUAUCACAGAAAAAAAAGGGUAAGUUAGAAAACAAUUGGGGAUAAAAUAACCACCCAGGUCUGCCCCAAGAAUCACAUCAAGAUCAAAGAGAAAGGUUUGGGCUUGCUUAACAAAGCAACAUAUUACUACAAGUUGGUUACUUUCAAUAUGUGGUGUUGCGACUCACUAUUUGAUUAAAAAAUUAAAAAAAAAUCAUUUGUGGAUUCAAACAAGCUGUCCCUUACAAGUAAGAAUGCAUAACAUACUCCAAAAAGUCAACACAAACACAACAAGUUAGGAAGUGAUCAAAUCUAAUUGUUAUCAAUUUCUCACUAAUAACUACAGUCUUUGAUGAUCAACUGAUCUCCUCAAAAACAAAAAGGCCUGGUGUUAAGUUUAGCUCACAACUAUAGUAUUUAACAUAACGAAAAAAAAAAAAAAAAGGG
rnacentral:misc_RNA from 1 species